GAAGAGAAGUAAGGGAUAGCAGUAUGCGUUGAGUGUCUACAUAGAUAUCCUAUGUAGAGGAAUGGCUGCUGUUGGAACUUGGCCGCUUUCGCUUUAUUUGCAGCAGCAUCCGUUGCUGUCCACCCAUUUACCGCGAAAACUUAAAAACAGGAUGUUUGAAGGUUUCGCGGUAAAUGGGUGGACGUGCUCAGUAACGCGUUCUCAGUCACAAUAUUCUCAUCUUCCAGUGUUGCUCCUGAACUAGACAUGCCAGUUGUAAAGGCGUCUUCAUUUGAGAGGGCCUCGUUCAAAAAGAGAACAUCUUUUCGAACUCAGAUUGACCUACGAGAUGAUCCUAUAACUAUUACAAGGCUUGCAAAAAAACAAACAAAAGCCAAUCAAACAAGAGACAGCUGAAAAACUGGCCAGAGACUUAAAGGCAGUGAAAUAUGUUGAAUGCUCUGCUCUAACACAGAAAGGACUAAAGAAUGUAUUUGAUGAGGCAGUAUUAGCAGCUCUAGGGCCCCCAGGAUCCCAGAAGACAUGCAAAUGUGUUAUUUUAUGAGCUGGACACAGCAGCAUCUUCAAAGACAAAUCUGGGUGUAAACCAACAGGAUUGUUUUAUUUUUGUACAGGUUUUUAUCAGGAAAGUAACAAUAGGUUUUAUUCAACAGUUUUUUUCCCCAUCAUAUACCUUGAUACUCAUGUCAUAUGAUAGGAUGAUAUGUGUGCAGAUUGUAGUCUCUUGACUCAUUUUGUGUGCCACUUUUGAAGUAAUUAGUUUAAUAUAUGUGUGAUGUCUGUUAUCAGCUGAAUAUGACUUGUCCCACAUUAUGUCAAGUUGAGUCACUGGGGAAUAUCUAAGAAAUUUGUAUUUUAAA